rnacentral:ncRNA from 1 species
UAGGAGAUAUAUUUUAAUUAUUAUCUAUAUUUUUGAUAAUAUAUUAUUGUAAGUUUUAUUCUUGCUUAAAUUAUUAAAUUUUUAUAUUAAUUAUAUGUUAUUUUUUUAAUUUAUUAAAUUUCAGUAAUAAAUAUUAUACAUUAUUUUUAUUUYUAUUAAGAUAUAUAAUUAUAUUAGAUUAAAAUUGUGCCAGCAUUCGCGGUUAUACAAUUUAUUAAAUUUAAUAUUUUAGGUUUUAAUUAUUUAUUAAUUUGAUUUAAAACUUUAAAAAUUUAGGUGGAAUUUUUUUUUAAAAAUUUUAUCUAUUAAAUUCUUGUUAAAUUUUAUUUCUAAACUAGGAUUAGAUACCCUAYUAUUUUAAAUUUAAUUUUUAACUUGAAUAUUAUCAGUUAAUUUCUGUAAAACUCAAAGAAUUUGGCGGUAAUUUACUUUUUUAGAGGAAUUUGGUUUUUAAUCGAUAAACCACGAUAUAUUUAACUUUUUUUAUACUUGUAUAUCUCUAUAAUUUGGAAUGUUACUAUAUUAUAUUUUCUUUUUUUAUUUAUAUAAUUAUAUUAGGUCAAGGUGCAGUUUUAAAAAAGUGAAUUUGAAUUACUUUAAUUAUAUAUAUAUUGAUAUUUUUAAAAAAAUUUAAUUUUAAAAUAGAAUUUAAUAGUAAAUUUAAAUAAUUAUUUAAAUUGAAUUUUACACUAAAUUAUGUACAUAUUGCCCGUCACUCUCAUCACAAUGAGAUAAGUCGUAACAAAGUAAUUUUACUGGAAAGUGAGGUUAGAAAGU